GUGGCUUAGAGGUCAGAGUCUCCGCUUUAGAUGCAGGAAGCAGCAGGUUCAAACCCUGGCCAAUUCA